rnacentral:rRNA from 1 species
GAUGAACGCUGGCGGCGUGCCUAAUACAUGCAAGUCGAGCGAACAGACGAGGAGCUUGCUCCUCUGACGUUAGCGGCGGACGGGUGAGUAACACGUGGAUAACCUACCUAUACGACUGGGAUAACUUCGGGAAACCGGAGCUAAUACCGGAUAAUAUAUUGAACCGCAUGGUUCAAUAGUGAAAGACGGUUUUGCUGUCACUUAUAGAUGGAUCCGCGCCGCAUUAGUUAGUUGGUAAGGUAACGGCUUACCAAGGCAACGAUGCGUAGACGACCUGAGAGGGUGGACGGCCAGACGGGAACUGAGACACGGUCCAGACUCCUACGGGAGGCAGCAGUAGGGAAUCUUACGCAAUGGGCGAAAGCCUGACGGAGCAACGCCGCGUGAGUGAUGAAGGUCUUCGGAUCGUAAAACUCUGUUAGUAGGGAAGAACAAAUGUGUAAGUAACUAUGCACGUCUUGACGGUACCGAAUCAGAAAGCCACGGCUAACUACGUG